CGUGUCUGUGGCUGCAUUAUCUAUUGGGACUACCGGAGGGGGGUUCCUGAGCAUAUCCAUGCUUAUUUAUGUGUAAACUGUGAGUAUUGCCCCCCGGUCCAGAUCCAAAGGCCCCAUCACCAGCCCCCCAUUACCUUUCAGCUUCUGCGAGCGGAGCGACUUUGAAUAGAUGUGCUAUGUUGCGCACAAGGCUUGCGCCUUGUCUUGGCUGGGAAGCUCCCUCUGCAUCUCUGCCCAGGAUGUGAAACUACGGUGCCGGUUUUCCACCACCCUGGAAAUGGAUGCUACAGAACACAGAAAUUUCUACUCAAGAGAGGCUGGAGAUUACCCUCAGUACAUUCACCAUGCAGCAUCAUACACAGUAAUCACUUGAUCAGUGCAGGAGCAAAUUAUGUAAGAUAAACAUAUUCAAGAGGCGUUUCAAGUGGUAUGUCCCUGGACUGCAAACACAAUAAACAUCUGCUAAUAAAAUUACAGCUUAAGUGGUUCCAAAA